rnacentral:rRNA from 1 species
CCAGACUCCUACGGGAGGCAGCAGUGAGGAAUAUUGGUCAAUGGGCGCAAGCCUGAACCAGCCAAGUCGCGUGAGGGAUGACGGUCCUAUGGAUUGUAAACCUCUUUUGUCGGGGAGCAAGGCCCGCCACGUGUGGCGGGAAGGAGAGUACCCGAAGAAAAAGCAUCGGCUAACUCCGUGCCAGCAGCCGCGGUAAUACGGAGGAUGCGAGCGUUAUCCGGAUUCAUUGGGUUUAAAGGGUGCGCAGGCGGGCCUUUAAGCCGGCGGUGAAAUCGCGGGGCUCAACCCCGCCCAGCCGUCGGAACUGCCGGGCUAGAGUGGGCGAGAAGUGCGCGGAAUGCGUGGUGUAGCGGUGAAAUGCAUAGAUAUCACGCAGAACCCCGAUUGCGAAGGCAGCCUUCCGGCGCCCUACUGACGCUGAGGCACGAAAGUGCGGGGAUCGAACAGGAUUAGAUACCCUUGUAC